rnacentral:rRNA from 1 species
CUAUACAUGCAAGUCGAGCGAACAGAUAAGGAGCUUGCUCCUUUGACGUUAGCGGCGGACGGGUGAGUAACACGUGGAUAACCUACCUAUAAGACUGGGAUAACUUCGGGAAACCGGAGCUAAUACCGGAUAACAUAUUGAACCGCAUGGUUCAAUAGUGAAAGGCGGCUUUGCUGUCACUUAUAGAUGGAUCCGCGCCGUAUUAGCUAGUUGGUAAGGUAACGGCUUACCAAGGCAACGAUACGUAGCCGACCUGAGAGGGUGAUCGGCCACACUGGAACUGAGACACGGUCCAGACUCCUACGGGAGGCAGCAGUAGGGAAUCUUCCGCAAUGGGCGAAAGCCUGACGGAGCAACGCCGCGUGAGUGAUGAAGGUCUUCGGAUCGUAAAACUCUGUUAUCAGGGAAGAACAAAUGUGUAAGUAACUGUGCACAUCUUGACGGUACCUGAUCAGAAAGCCACGGCUAACUACGUGCCAGCAGCCGCGGUAAUACGUAGGUGGCAAGCGUUAUCCGGAAUUAUUGGGCGUAAAGCGCGCGUAGGCGGUUUUUUAAGUCUGAUGUGAAAGCCCACGGCUCAACCGUGGAGGGUCAUUGGAAACUGGAAAACUUGAGUGCAGAAGAGGAAAGUGGAAUUCCAUGUGUAGCGGUGAAAUGCGCAGAGAUAUGGAGGAACACCAGUGGCGAAGGCGACUUUCUGGUCUGUAACUGACGCUGAUGUGCGAAAGCGUGGGGAUCAAACAGGAUUAG